UACGUAGGCAGCGAGCGUUGUUCGGAGUUACUGGGCGUAAAGCGUGCGUAGGCGGUGUCUUAAGUUUGUUGUGAAAUCUCCCGGCUUAACCGGGAGGGUGCGGCGAAUACUGAGAUGCUGGAGUGCCGGAGAGGUAAGCGGAAUUCCUGGUGUAGCGGUGAAAUGCGUAGAUAUCUGGAGGAGCACCGGUGGCGAAGGCGGCAUCCUGGACCAACACUGACGCUGAGGAGCGAAAGCCAGGGGAGCAAACGGG
rnacentral:rRNA from 1 species